GAUUGAUGGUGCUUGCACCUGAUUGAUUUUGGUCGCCAACGAGUGGCGGACGGGUGAGUAACACGUAGGUAACCUGCCCAGAAGCGGGGGACAACAUUUGGAAACAGAUGCUAAUACCGCAUAACAGCGUUGUUCGCAUGAACAACGCUUAAAAGAUGGCUUCUCGCUAUCACUUCUGGAUGGACCUGCGGUGCAUUAGCUUGUUGGUGGGGUAAUGGCCUACCAAGGCGAUGAUGCAUAGCCGAGUUGAGAGACUGAUCGGCCACAAUGGGACUGAGACACGGCCCAUACUCCUACGGGAGGCAGCAGUAGGGAAUCUUCCACAAUGGGCGCAAGCCUGAUGGAGCAACACCGCGUGAGUGAAGAAGGGUUUCGGCUCGUAAAGCUCUGUUGUUAAAGAAGAACACGUAUGAGAGUAACUGUUCAUACGUUGACGGUAUUUAACCAGAAAGUCACGGCUAACUACGUGCCAGCAGCCGCGGUAAUACGUAGGUGGCAAGCGUUAUCCGGAUUUAUUGGGCGUAAAGAGA
rnacentral:rRNA from 1 species